CCUGCAGUUUUUGGCUUUUACCUCCACCAGUGACCAAAGACUUGACCACUCAAAGUCCAGCUCCCCAUAACACUGCUCGACAUGGACACCGGUGUGAUUGAAAGUGGAUUAAAUGUCACUCUCACCAUUUGGCUACUUAUGCAUGGGAAGGAAGUUGGCAGUAUCAUCAAAAAGAAAGGCGAGUUGGUUAAGAAGAUGCGCGAGGAGAGUGGUGCACGUAUCAAUAUCUCAGAAGGGAAUUGUCCUGAGAGAAUUAUCACUUUGGCUGGACCCACUAAUGCCAUCUUCAAAGCCUUUGUUAUGAUCAUUGACAAACUGGAAGAGGACAUCAGCAGCUCUAUGAUCAAUUUUACAACUGCUAGUAGACCCCCAGUCACUCUGAGGCUGGUGGUCCCUGCUAGUCAGUGUGGCUCUCUCAUUGGAAAAGGUGAUUUCAAGAUUAUGAGAGAGUACAGGGGCUCAAGUCCAGGUGACAGGGGUUAUGCUCCCCAAUUCACUGAGCCAGCCAUCACUAUUGCUGGCAUUCUGCAAUCCAUCAUUGAGGGUGUCAAACAGAUCUGCGUGGUCAUGACCAUCCUGUACCUGCCCAAGCCAUCAAGUUCUCCAGUCAUCUUUGCAGGUGGUCAGGACAGAUACAGCACAGGCAGCGACAGUGUGAGCUUUCUCCACACCACCCCAUCCAUGUGCCUCAACCCUGACCUGGAGGGACCAUCUCUAGAGGCUUAUAUCAUUCAAGGACAGUAUGCCAUUCCACAGCCAGAUUUGACCAAGCUGCACCAGUUGGCAAUGCAACAGUCUCAUUUUCCUAUGAUGCAUGGCAACACUGGAUUCAGUGCAGGUUUGGAUGCAUCUGCUCAGACUACUUCUUAUGAACUCAACACCCUACCUCUAAAUAGUUUUCUGUGCUUUAGAUCUUAA